UUGCGCCUACGGGGGGCAGCAGUGAGGAAUAUUGGUCAAUGGCCGGGAGGCUGAACCAGCCAAGUCGCGUGAGGGAAGACGGUCCUAUGGAUUGUAAACCUCUUUUGUCAGGGAGCAAAAACUGCCACGCGUGGCAGGAUGAGAGUACCUGAAGAAAAAGCAUCGGCUAACUCCGUGCCAGCAGCCGCGGUAAUACGGAGGAUGCGAGCGUUAUCCGGAUUUAUUGGGUUUAAAGGGUGCGUAGGCGGACAGUUAAGUCAGCGGUAAAAUUGAGAGGCUCAACCUCUUCCCGCCGUUGAAACUGA
rnacentral:rRNA from 1 species